GUGUUGGCUUUGGCAGCACCUUCUAAAAUUAGAAUGACACAGACAAGAUUAACACGUCUCCUGCAUAUAGAUUACACAAAAUUUUGUGAAGCAUUUCAUAUUUUA
ensembl:snRNA U6 U6 spliceosomal RNA